rnacentral:lncRNA from 1 species
ACAGAAGUCCAUGAGCGUCCAGACGGGGUGACCCCUGCGCGUGACCCCUGACUAUCUACGAAUCAAAUAUGGCUUUCGUUUUCAAGUUAAGCAUUUCUACUUUCAUUUUCUUUUCUUCCGGAAAUAGCUUAAGGUCGAGUGACUCAUUUUCUGUUGUUAAAAACAUAUAUGCCUGGCGAGAUUGCAUAAAUAUGUGCUGGCCGUCCUAAGGUUACGAAAAAGUAUCUCAAUAUUUCCUAGGAUCACAUCAAAUUGGACUAGCCCGGAUCUCUACUCUAGACAGAAUUCCGGUAUUGUAUAUCAUGGUAUAGGACUUGAAUAUUAAAACAGGGAGAAAUUAUGUAGACGGCCAUGUAGCUCAGUCAAUAGAGCAUCAGAACAGUAUUACGAGGCCCCUGGGUUUGAGUCUCGGUCUGGCUGCACAUUUUUCUCACCCUUUGACAUUUGGCGUCCAGCUUUGGACGGUGAUGGUAUUACACUGGCUAGUCUCCUACGCCUGUAAUUGCUUAUAUAUACUUUAGUACCUAUAACUGGAAAAAAAAUCCAGGACAAAUUUCAAAAUGGUGGGGAAAUAUAUCACGGUAUAGGACUUGAAUAUUAAAACAGGGAGAAAGUGUGUAGGCGGCCGGGUAGCUCAGUUGGUAGAGCAUCUGAAGGGUAUUCCGAGGCUCUGGGUUUGAAUCCCGGUCUGACUGCACUUAUUUCUAACCCUUUGACAUGUAUCAAUAACCAGUAUUUAAAGUAAUUGCUGUACUAGUAAUAGUUAUGACUAGUUGUCAUAGAAUUGUCAUUAAGGGCUGUUUUUGUAAAUAUUUCAUCUAUAACAUUAGCUCUCGCUCAGGUUUAAAGUAUACUUAAAAUAUGAAAUUUUAUCUGAAGAAAAGUCUAAUUGAAUAAAGAGAAAAAAGUCUCUCAGUGAAAAGGAAUGAAAAAUUCUGUUUUAAAGCCUAAUACUUGAUUACAGACUGAUAGAUAAAAUCUAUAACUCAGUGUAAGUUCUGUAACUACCAUUUAUUGUCAUGAGUACAGUAGAUUUGUUUUGACUGAAUAUUAACAUUUUGGUAUUGACUAAAAAGGUUGUUAUCAGCUUAGUAGGUUAAAUGUAUAUUUGAUGCAUUUUUGUUGUUGUUGUUUUUGUUACAGAUGUGUGUGCCAUUCCACAUCUGACCACUGUAAGGUCUGGCAGCAAAAUAAAGAUAUAUUCAAAUGGAUCUUGUGCUGUGUCUCACAUCUGACAUCAUACUAGAAAAGGGUCAUGUAAACGUAACAAAAAGUCAUGCGAAUGGACAUCAAAAUGUUGACACAGAUCGGUAUUUGAGACUUAAAUCUUCAGGAUAUAACUUCAUAAAACUGGCGGAUAAAUCAAACUGCGAAGUUCUUUCGAUUGGCGAGUAAAACAGUUGUGUCUCUUCGUAGGAACGAUGAUA